GAUAUAUGAGUGUGUGUAUGUGUGUGUGUAUGAAAGCAUCCAAGGCUCCAUUACAGCCAAUCCUACCGAACAGUUUCACACUGUUUUCCUUACCUGUCAUCUCUGAUGAGGAUUUGUAUAUAGAUAACUGCUCAGUUAUCUAAUAUCCUGUGCAAAACCAUUUGAUAAGAUUGGCUGAAAUAAAUCUAUAAUGCUGUUGAUUAAUAUAUGUGAGUCUGUGUAUGUAUGCAUGUAUAUAUGUGUGUGUGUAUGUGUUUGCCAUUAUAUUGACCUGCAACUGGUAUUGCGUUAUUAAGUCAUACUUGUGAAAGGAAAGUCAAGGACGCAGAGACUGAACCCUGCUUAAGUUAUGAUUAACCCUUUCGUUACCAUAUUUAUUUCGAUAUACUCUGUGUUUCUUUUAAUUACUUUAAAUAUAACAAAGAAUUUAAUAAAAUAACUUGGUUAUCAUUAAGCUAGUGUUAGAAACAUAAAUCGUGACUAAGGUUUGAUGGAAGAUUUUUAUUCAAAACUUAUGAAAACAGGACCUUUAUACCACAGAGCCAGAGGCAGUUUCAGCUGGGUUGGUAUUGAAAGAGUUAAUGUGGUACUGGCCUGAGGGCUUUUAACUCUUUUUUUACCAUAUUUCUGUUGAGAUGCUCAGUGUUUCUUUCAAUUAGUUUUAAAUAUAACAAAGAAUUUAAUAAAAUAACUUGGUUAUCAUUUAGCUAGUGUUAGGAACAUAAAUUGUGACUAAGGUUUGGUGGAACAUUUUUAUUCAAAACUUAUGGAAACAGGACAUUUAUACUACAGAGCCAGAUCCAGAGCCAGUUUCAGCCGGGUUAGUAGCGAAAGGGUUAAACUUAUAGAGCCAAUUUUUUAAAGCAAGCAAAUUCAUGAAUUGAAGCUAAAUUGUUGAUUCAGCAGGUGCGAAAUUUUCUUCUACCUUAUGAAUGGUCUUGUGUUUAUACAUACAUAUGGCAUCCUCUUUGCAAAUAUGUUUGUAUAUAUAAGUUUCUAUGCAAAUAUGUGUGUGUACAUAUACAAAUAAGAUAUUGAGAUUAUGCACGCCGCCAACAAAAAAUAUACACAAUCUAUUUAAUGUAUCGACUGCUUUUUUUUUUUUACUUUGUUGUUUACAAAUACAAAUGUUUAUCAAUGUCAAGAGAGAGAGAGAGAGAGAGAGAGAGAAGCAAGAGAAAAAAAACACAGGCUGGUAAUUAGUGAGAAAGGUAAAACUAGCUAGAAUGAGAGAGAGGGGGAGGGGCAUAAGAGAGUGAGUGAGAGAGAGAUAGAGAUUGGAUAUGUGGGUAAAACUAGAUAAGGAAGACUAAGGAGAGUGAGUGAGGGAGGCAGAAGGAAGAAGGGCGGGAGAGUACAUUAUGACUUAAAAGCUGAUUGGUAGCUAGGUAGAUAGAUAGAUAGAUAGUUAGAGAGUGAGAGAGAGAGAGAGAUAGGGAUAUAAGCUAAAUAGAUAGAUAGAUAGAUAGAUAGAUAGAUAGAUAGAUAGAUAGAUAGAUAGAUAGAUAGAUAGAUAGAUAGAUAGAUAGAUAGAUAGAUAGAUAGAUGGGCAGACAGACAGAUAGAUAGAUGGAUAGAUAAAUGGACAGACAGAUAGAUGGAUAGAUGGAUACACAGAUAAAUAAAUAGAUAGAUAGAGAGAGAGAGAAUGAGAUAGGAAGAGAGAGAUAUAAGCUGAAUAAAUAGAUAGAUAGAUAGAUAGAUAGAUAGUUAAAUAGAUAGAUAGAUAGAUAAAUGGACAGAUAGAUAGAUAGAUGGAUACACAUAGAUAGAUAGAG
rnacentral:lncRNA from 1 species